rnacentral:misc_RNA from 1 species
GAUGAAGAACGUAGCGAAAUGCGAUAAGUAAUGCGAAUUGCAGAAUUCAGUGAGUCAUCGAAUCUUUGAACGCACAUUGCGCCCUGUGGUAUUCCGCAGGGCAUGCCUGUUCGAGCGUCAUUUCAACCCUCAAGCUCCGCUUGGUGUUGGGCCCUGCCCCCGCAGCCGGCCCCAAAGACAGUGGCGGCGCCGCUUGGCCCUAAGCGUAGUACAUCUCUCGCUCUAGGACCCGGCGGUGGCCUGCCAGAACCCCCAACUCAUGUGGUUGACCUCGGAUCAGGUAGGGAUACCCGCUGAACUUAAGCAUAUCAAUAAGCGGAGGA